rnacentral:tRNA from 1 species
GCCUGGGUGGCUCAGUCGGUUAAGCGUCUGACUUUGGCUCAGGUCAUGAUCUCACGGUUAGUGAGUUCAAGCCUCACGUUGGGCU